UACGAAGGGGGCUAGCGUUGCUCGGAAUCACUGGGCGUAAAGGGUGCGUAGGCGGGCCUUUAAGUCAGGGGUGAAAUCCUGGAGCUCAACUCCAGAACUGCCUUCGAUACUGGCGAUCUUGAGUCCGGAAGAGGUGAGUGGAACUCCUAGUGUAGAGGUGGAAUUCGUAGAUAUUAGGAAGAACACCAGUGGCGAAGGCGGCUCACUGGUCCGGUACUGACGCUGAGGUGCGAAAGCGUGGGGAGCAAACAGG
rnacentral:rRNA from 1 species